AAAGAAAUUAAAUAUAAUUAAUUUCGAAUUACUUAAAAAUACGAAAUCUUUUCAGUCAAAUUUGAUUCCAUUCGUAUCUUUUCAUCUUCUGAUUUUCCGAUUUUCUCUUAUAGAUCGAUACAUGAAUUAUAUUGUCCAACGUUCGUCUUAUUUCGUACAUCCCCGUUAAAGUAAAAAUGGGUCCACGAAGCGGUGUAUCAUGAAAUCGUUAAGCGUCGAAUUAUUAAGAUCGGUUGAUUCUGGCGGUGAACUCGACAUCUCUGACGUCCUCCUUUCUAAAUAAGGAACAGCAUCGAUACUAUCACCUACCCUAAGAAAUAGAAAGGGUGAACGAGAAACCAGUUUUCGUCACAGAGACAAAAGCUUAAGAAAUGGAUAUCGUGCUUGCCGUUCCACAAUUAAACUUUUUGAUAAAUUAUUAUCACUGACCCAAUGCACAUCGAUUCCUCGCCUACGAUCAAUACCUCGUCUUCGUUCAAUCUUCAUUCAUUUAUUACUCAUUCCCCCCCUUUUUUUUAAAAUCAUGACUUAAAAACAGCAAGAAAGAUAAAAAUUACUGUUCUAACAAAAAGUUAGUCGAAAUGUGAAAUGUAAACGUUUCAUAUUUAAAAAAAUACGACUGAAUCAAUCUCUCCAUCUAACACUGUAAUGUUAACUUCGAAUUUGGAAGAAAAAUAGAACAGAAAAAUUGCAAGUAAGCAAGCUUAUACACUUAUAUACUUUCUCAAAAUUUGUAUUUGAAUUCGUAUUCAAAUACAAAUGAAUAUAAUUGUGUAUUUGUAAUUGGAAUUGCAAAUUUCCAACAGCGGAAUAUCAUUAUUGCUGACUGAAUAUUCCCCUCCCACGACAUUCUUUCCUUUUUUAUUUUCCUGAAAUGUCAUAUUUACAUUUUCUCUGUAAGCAAUUCGAUUUAGGAGUAAAUAUUGGUGCACCGUAUCGAGAUUCGGUUGUACGACCGGCAUGUGUCCCGCGUUACGUCUGCUGCGCGUGCUUGAGACCGAAAGGGUGACUCAACGGAACGUGCCGGGUGUGAUGUGCCAAAUAUGCAUAGGUUCGUCUGUAUUGGAGAAUCUCGGAUUCUGUUCUCCGAUUGUCUACGGGGAGGGAGGGAGGGAGGGAGGACAUUGCGGGUGCGUGCCACGGAUCGCGUGGCUAUUACACUAUCAAUAGGGUUCGCGUUAGGUGCACGUGGUUUUAUACUGCAACAACCGAUCGUGUUCCCUUAUUCGCCUCUCUCGACACCUCGCAAUCACAAUUUUUUCGAUAUUUUUUUCAAAAGGAGUUUUAACAGUUUUUAAUGGGAUUGUUAGGAGAAAUUAUUAUGUUACUCUCGGGUAAUGUUAAUGGACACGAGUUUCACUUCUAAUUUUAUCGUUCAUUUAUCAUGACAGUCACGCAGUUAAACAGCUAAUCUAUUGAAUACAAUAGUUCAUGAAAUCCUCGAGUAAUGGAUUAGCCAGAUAUAUGUAUAGAAAGGUAAUUUAAUCGGCGAGUAUAGCAUCUAUUCUUGCCACUCAUUCAAUAAUGAAAUUUCAACGAGGCCUUUAACGAGUUUGAGAUUAUAUUUGGAAAUAACACGCGUCGGAUUCAAGCAUACCUAUUACGAUCGUGUCAUGUGACAGGGUGUUCCCCAGUGGAGUGAAUUUUUCCAAACAAAAUCAGUUUUUAAUUAAUGCCAGUCGAGACCAAAGAAGGUGUAGAGACGGAACACGGAUUUGUACGAUUUGAGUGGCGAAUCGAAUCGGGUCAUCGGGUUGACUUGGGCCGGCGAUUGGCCAAGAAACCAGACAGAUUUUCGCGACAGCACUCGUUGACUAUGACUGUGACGGCGACUGCUGCGACGACAGCAACUGUGACGAUAGUGGUGGUGGCGGUGACGGUGGUGGAGCCGACGGCGACGGUGGAGGCGGCGGCGGUGGCAGCCACGACGGCUGUAGCGGUGACAGUGGCGAUGGCGGCGAGAUAGAGAAUCGAAGGAGACAGGAACAGUGAUGAAAGAAAGAGAGAGAGAGAGAGAGAGAGAGAGAGGGUGUUACACACGGAAGAAGGGGUUUAGAGAAUCGCGAGAUGGAAGAAGAGAAAGAGAAGCGAGUAAGAGAGUAAGGUAGUACACAGAGGUGUGGGAUGAACGCGAGACGCGGUAGAAACUCGAGGGACGGAAAGGGGCGAAAAGCGACGAGCGCCGCCGAGACGAGACGAGGCGCGACGAGGAAAGACGAUGAAGGCCGACGGGGGUCGCACACCGCGGCGCUGAACGCAGUGCCAUCCGAUAGGCAGCACCGCUUGCUCCACGGAUCUUCGGCUCGUUCGCUUCGAGCUUCGGUCGUUCGUUGUACGAUCCACGCUCGAUUCCGCUUCCUUUCUUUUUCGUUCGUUCUUGGCGUGGCUGCCGUGGCGUCCAUGCCGAGAAAGGAAAAGCCAGCAUCGACACGCUACACACGGUGGAAAACACGGAGCCGCCGCGAAGACGCGUGCACUGGUCGUGUGUGUCGUUGCCGCGCGUAGUUUUACGUGUACUGCGUAUACGUCUGAUCGUGCUCGUGAACAGAGGUGCCCCCUCCCCUCAUCCCGAACGGCGAACGCGUGGUGGUCAACACGAUAGAUCGUAAUCCUUGCUCGAGGCCGAUAAACGCUUGACGAAGAGAUUCGCAGAAGCGCGGCGAAGCGGGAACACCAGAGGAUGCGAGCAGCGGAGGCGCGUGUACUCGCGGAUGCUCGCCCGGCGAUCGUUCCUGGCAACGAUCGGCACGGCUCGCGAUGAUGGCGGAGCGCGGUCGCGUAGCAGCGAUAUCGUGGUUCGAGUACGCGCGACGCGGAUACCUCGGUAGAAACGUUCGACACACGACGGGAUAAAUGCGAGACCGAAAUCUCGUGGGUGGACCAGUUGUCGCGGCGACGAAGAAGAGGAAGAAGAAAAAGAGGCAGCUGGAAUCGGGUCGAUACGAACGGAGCCCGAUCUGCUGGUGGUGGUUAAGGGCGAGAGCAGGUGUCGUGGAAAGGGGGGACGAUAACGGGACGAGGUUGGAUGUAGAUCAGGAAGA